CAAGAAUCGUGUGCUGGCUGUUCCCUUCCAUUUUCAGCUGGGUUAGCACUAUUUUGGAAAGAUUUUCUACAAUCAUUCCUCAACUUAAUUUUUGAUCACGUUUCAUCUGAAAGUCAAGAAGUUGAAAUCUAUGGCUGAAUGCAUCUCCUGGAAUUGCCUGUUAGAAAUGAGCAAAGCCAUCAGAAAUCUGAGACAGUGUCUACCCCAAGUCAAGUUACAUGAAUGAAACCUGAACUGAAAUAAAUGUUAACAAUGAGAUCAUCAAUAGGAAUCAUGCUUCUCCAGGAAGGCGAGCUACCUUUCUUACCGUGGGAAUGCUCCAUAAGUAUUUGCAUCAACAACAAUACAUGCUUUAGAGACCUGGAGAAAUAAUUACUGCAGUGUGGUAUUUUGACUUCUGCUUCUGUGAAGAUCUAACUGAAUGUCUCAAGGAGGUCAGUUUUAUGGACUGCUAAAGGAGGCCUUGGAGAGUGCUGUUGUGGAUAGCAAUGAGGGUGACUCAUCUGGCUAUAGAGCUGGAAAUGGAAAUGUAAUAUUAAAGAAAAUAAAUAACAAGACUGAAAAGAGAAUUAAAUGAGGAAAUGAGGCGUGAAUGCGUGAGACAGAGGUUAGUCUACUGCAUGUAAGUAGAUAUCGCCUAAUUGUUUGGGAAGCAAAACUUAGUAAGGGAACUGUAGGAUUAUGAGUGAACUAGAGCACUCUAGGAUAUGCCUACCAAUUACUUUAUUGCAGCAGGUAGAUCUGCCACUCUGUGGUGUAUAAGGGAUAGCUUGAAAACCCCUUUCUUUGAAGAAAUGCAUUAUGAGUAGUGAUUAAUUUGUAUUGCUUACGUAUG